rnacentral:rRNA from 1 species
CCCUUAGAUGUUCUGGGCUGCACGCGUGCUACACUGAUAUUGCCAAUAUGUCAUUCUUAUCCGAAAUGGAUUGGGUAAUCAAGUAAUGAAAUUUCAUGCUUGGAAUCGGUAAUUGCAAUUUUAUCGUGAACGAGGAAUUCCUAGUAAGCACUAGUCAUCAGCUAAUGUUGAUUAUGUCCCUGCCCUUUGUACACACCGCCCGUCGCUACUACUGAUUGGGUGUUCAAGUGAGAUGCUUAGACCCUUGUUGCAUGGUUCACUAUUGUGCUCCGAAAGGAAAAAGUUUCAAGCUUGAGUGUCUAGAGGAAGUAAAAGUCGUAACA